GAUCCUGGCUCAGGAUGAACGCUAGCUACAGGCUUAACACAUGCAAGUCGAGGGGCAGCGGGAUUGAAGCUUGCUUCAAUUGCCGGCGACCGGCGCACGGGUGAGUAACGCGUAUCCAACCUUCCGUACACUCAGGGAUAGCCUUUCGAAAGAAAGAUUAAUACCUGAUGGUAUGAUGAGAUUGCAUGAUAACCCGAUUAAAGAUUUAUCGGUAACGGAUGGGGAUGCGUUCCAUUAGA
rnacentral:rRNA from 1 species